rnacentral:misc_RNA from 1 species
AACCCGAAGUGUUGAUUGAUGCAGGUCGCACUUCAUAAAGCACAUGAGACCCACAUCAAUUAAUGGUCCAGAUUGCAGAGUCAUAUUACCUGCAACCAUGCUUAGCAUUUUCCUAGAAACAUUUUCUUGGUCUUCUUCCUUUUUUUUUGACUAUUUACAGAAGCCUCUUACCAGUCAAACUUACAACGAUGAGGAAUACAGAAUGAAAGCUGAAAUACUUUUUGCAAUUCAGUUCUUCAAUCGUACAAUCCCUCCUGCUCCCAUACGUCCACCAGAAAAUCAAUAAGUUCAGAGAGAGGAAUGGGCUGGGGGAAAGGAUUUCUGGUUCCAAGUAAGCCUUCAUAAGUUGCAUUCCAGCUUAAUCUGCGUUCCCAUCUCUGUUGGGUUUGAUUUGUGGAAGUGUUACUUCCAAUCCACUGAAGCCUGCUCUGUUGCCAAAGAAGAAGACCAUGAUUUACAAAGUCAGAAUUGCUGCUUGUGCCACUGGUGCUACUAUUGAGAUUCACAUUUGAUACACUGAUUGAUGAGACACUUCUCUGAGAUUGCACAGCACUGUUCUCCAAAUCACAUGUGCUGGUGCUCCAAAAAUCAUCUGAUAUGCUAGGUUUCUUCACUGCCCGUCCUUGUAUCCUCAAUCCUUUUGAUGGUUCAUCCACAGCAAUAAUUGGAGUGGAUUUAGCACAGCAACCAAAACAACCACCCAUGCAAGCGAGAAGGUGACGGAUCCAAGCAGUAAUAGAGGUGUUGAAGAUCACCAUCUAAACGGGCCAAAAAAGCAUCGAUUCGCUCCGGUCAACGGAAUCGGAAAUGGAAAAGAAAAUCCGAGUUGUUCAGAUUUCAGUUUGGGUCAAAAAAUCGACAUCUUGUGAUGUAGGAGUUAGAGAAAUUGGUUGGUUGGAACUUAGGUGGUUAGCAAAGAGUCAAGUGAUUAGCGCAGAGAAGUGAUGAACUGAUAAUUAAGGUGGGUUUGGUUUGGUUUAGUUCGUGGAUGAUGAUC